CUCUGCCGGGGGGGGGGGGCCUCAAAAAUGAAAGCAGGAAGUUGGUUGUUCCAGGGAAGUUAGAGAUCAGGACUUAUUAGCACAGUGGUGGAAACAUCUUCCCACAUCUCAGAAGACAAGGCAUUACAUCCACACAGGAAGAAUACUCCUAAGGAAUCAGGGACAGUGCAAGAAGUCACACUGAGAAGGGAGGAAGUUGUAGUAUGAAGGAAAUAUCAACAGGCAGGAAUCCGGCACUGAGGUGCCAGGCCUGUUAUUCCCUAGUGCAGAUGGAACCCUUGAGGAGCCCAUUAGGACCUCCCCCCAUUGUGACUGGAGACCCUUGAGGAGCCCAUUAGGACCUCCCCCCAUUGUGACUGGAGACCCUUGAGGAGCCCAUUAGGACCUCCCCCCAUUGUGACUGGAGACCCUUGAGGAGCCCAUUAGGACCUCCCCCAUUGUGACUGGAGACCCUUGAGGAGCCCAUUAGGACCUCCCCCCAUUGUGACUGCAGAGAGGACUGUGAAGGACUUGGUGAGAGGAGGUGCAGUCUUCUCCAGGAGAGGGAGGGGCAGGACAAGGAGGAGUGUGGCUGGCAUGAUGAAAAUGCCCACAGAAUGGACUUCCUGUGGCCUUAAUACAAAUUGGGGUUUGGUCCACAAACCCUACCUUUGGCAAGACUGCACUCUCCACCGGCAAGCGAGAGGAGGUGAGAAAGGACAUUUGUGUACGUGCAGCCGUGAGAAUGUUGGAAGGCACAGGUCCACCCUGACAGGGGUUCCACAGAAAAUGGACCUUUUAUGCCAAAUGGAGGAGGCAGCAGCAAGCAGGAUCCAGGCCAGCUUAGUCUCCAUAGAGAGUUCCAGGUCAGCUAAGGCCACAUAGUGAGACCUUAUCUCAAAAAUAAAUGAGUAACUACAUAAACAAA